CUAGGGACUAAUAUAUUACUAUCCGCACAAAAUUUCAGCCAAAAAAUUAUGAAAGAAUCAUCAACAAUUAAUUGCACAAAAUUAAAAACAAAAUGGAAAUCAAAGAUGAACAAGGUGGUACAUGGAUCAGGCAAAGGGUGUCAAUGGGAAUCAAACCCAUGCGCUUCAUGCCCAUACGCUUCAGCAAAGUCCAUACCUCCACCAUUCUCCAUUAUUUAUCCUUUUUCUUUAAUUAUUAUCAAAAGAAAGGAAAUAAAUAAUGAAAAAAAUAAUAAGAAAGGGAAGGAGGUUAAACGCUGCAGUUUAGGAUUGAGAGGAGUGGUGUCUAUUCCGAUUCCUCAAACAUGA